rnacentral:tRNA from 11 species
AGGCGCGUAGCUCAGAGGUUAGAGCGCCUGCUUGACACGCAGGAGGUCGGUGGUUCGAGUCCACCCGUGCCUACCA